CAUACACAUCUAUCCUUCUAGCUGCUAAAGCUAACAUGUCUUCACACUUCCUAUUUAGGUUGUAAUGUGUACAUUGCCCCCAGGCCAACCAGUAUAUGUUGUUAUAGCAACAGUUAGGUUUUAGCAACAUCUGUUGGCUGUGCUAUAAUUUAGAGGAGAUACUGUGGUUAUUUCCAUUUAAAACCUCAUUUUCUUUUCAGAGGUUUAUAACUCUUAGUUCCUGACUGAGGCUCAGCAGCACAGGCAGCUUCAGUUCAAAAGAACACCUUUUGUACAAACUUUCUUCAUUAAAAAACAAAAAGCCGAUCUGUCUCGUUGCUUUGGGUCUGUAUAGCUAUACUACAGCAGUGUGUUUUCUUUUUAUGUUACAAAUUUUGGAUUUCUGCUCUUCAAUUUUGAAAAUGGAUCACUUACAAAAAUGUUAUGUUAAAAUAUAUGUAAUAAAUUUGCAAUGUGUGCAUUAUAUAUGUAUUGGUUAUAAAACUUGUGUAUUCUGUGUGUAUAUUAAGGGCUUGAUCCUGCGUGAGGUUCCUAGCACCCUAAACUCCUAGUGACUCUAAACUAGACAGAUUCUGAUAACAAGCUAUUCUUCAGUAUAUUUCGAUGUGAGCUACUACGGAAUCAGUGGGGGCACUUAUGUAGUAAGUGCUACUCAGCAAAAAGUAAGGAUACCAAUAUCUGACCCUGGUGAAUUUCCAUAAGUGCUGUAAUAACUAGUUAGGGUAGGGAAAACUUAUCAGUCUAUUUGUUGGUAGGUAUUUUUCUAUUUUAGGUGAUUUUUAUAUGGCCCCCAUUACUGGGAUAUCCAAGCAUCUGAUAAUCGUAAUGGAUUUAUCCGCCCACACCCUUGUGAGGUAGGGCAGUGCUAUUAUUUGGCGGGCACUACUGUGGAACUGAGACAUGGAGAGACUAAGGGCUUGUCCAGAUGGAGACUUGGCAGCAACCAGCGUUAAAUCUUCAGUGUUCUAGCCUGCCGCCCAACCAAGUCACUGUGUGCAGUAUAGCCAUCCUAAUGAAUCUGACUCCGCCCUCCAAAUCAUGAGAUUGGCUCAAAUAAUCAUAAAUUUAAAAAAAUAUUAUAUUGGUGUUUUUGUCUCCUUUGAUUUUUGAACUCCCCCUACCCAUCUUGUGUGACAUUCGUGUUGUCCACUCUCCCAAAUAUAAUGGAGAAGGGUGAUUUUGGCCCCUGCUGUGGAAGCUCUCGCCCCCCGCAUCUGCCUGUCCCCUGACCUUCAUUAAUCUUGUCUCCCAGACUCACUUCUGCUCUUCUGGGGGUUCUUCUCUCCCAACUAUCCCUCUCCCCUUCCCUAGGCUUGGGAAGGCAGCUCCAGAGGAUCUAUCUCCCCUCUGCCCCUCCUUCCCAGGCCAUAGAUGCAACAGGAGGGAGGGGAGAGGAGCAGAUUACUAUCCUGUCCUCUCUUCUGAACAGGAGGGGGGUGACAGAACAGGAUUGCACUAAAUUGCUGGGCCUUUGCUCCCUCCUCCUGCUCAGCAGGGGAGAGAUUCUGCUGGCUUCCAGCAGGACUAAACUUUCCGAGGGGUCUGAGCUUCUCCAGCACAAGCUUCAGCACCAUCUCAAAUCCCAUCACUUGUGGAAAAAAUCAUGAGAGUUGGCAACACUGGUCCAUUAAAAGUUCUGUAGUGUACUUGAACAGCAGCAUGUAAAAGUGCACUGUGGAACUUUUAGUCCAUGAUAGCAGGGUUUGCACACCCAGAUCAGUGCUGUAGCCUGCCAUGCGCUUAUGUUUACACCUCGGCUUGCAGUGCACUAACUGACCAUAUAGACAAGCCCCAAUUUAUAUGCCCAAGAUCCCACAGGAAGCCUGUGGUAGAGCAGGGAGUUGAAUCUUGAUGUCUCAGGUCCCAGGCUACCUCCUAACCAUGGGGCCAUACUUUCCCUCUAUGGCCUAGAGACUGCGAUGAUGGGCACUUGAGAGAGACAUAAAAAUAAGCAUUUGGUGGCUUAUGUUAUAUGAAUCGAUGUCAAAGUCUGACAUUAUUCUGCUUAAUUUUUAAUUUUUCUAAUCUUAAAAGAAAAGGAAAAAGGCAGGGGGAUACAUAAAGGGGAUACAUGAAUACAUUCAGAAAGAUUGGCUUUGUUUUUAAAUCCUCAUAUGACAUAUAUGGUCAUAAAAUAUUUAUUAGUUCUUUAUUUCCUAGGGGAGAAAAUAAGACUUUGCUUCAGCUUUUCUCUCUCCUCCCUGCCCCCAUUUUGCCUUACUUCACUUCUAAUUUCAAGAUAAACUAGUGAUGGCAGUAUGCAAAAUAUCUGAAGAAAUGAGAUUGUAGUUCAUGCCUAUGUCAGUAUUUUAAGCAGUCUUCUUCCUCUGUCGUUUCUGCAGUUUAUACAGGGAAUUCAAGUUAAUACCUCAGGCAAAUAAUUUGACAAUUGGCAGUUCCUUGAUAGAAAAGCUCAUGAAAGAAGAAAGGGCAUGAGGAUUCUUAAAUUAAAAAAAAAGAAAAGAAAAGAAAUUGAAUAUGUGUUUUUAGAUUUCCAAAGUUUUCUGGCAUGGGGGAACGUGAAACAGGCUUUGGAAUAAACAUGCAUACCUUGAGAAUAUUGAAAAUGCUGUGGAGCAGCAGACUUGAAAGACAUUCUUUCGGGAAAAUUCUUCUCUUUUUAAGCCCUUUUCCAUUUUGAGACCUGCAGUGGUGGCAGGUUGCCAGGUAUGGUAUCAAAACUGCAGUUUUAAAAUGGGAAUCAGAGGAUGGCUCUUAGUCACUUGUUAAUAUUGUGUUAAACACCUCUGAGACAGUAAGCAGUUAUACGGCUUCUUGGAGAAUGAAUUAAUAAUCACGGGAGUGCACUCUCUGAUCUGUACACAUUUAGCUCACUUUGCAGAUGUAUUUCUGGCAACAGCGUGAUGCAUUUCUAUAUGUAAAAUGCUUGAAAGCAGCCUUAAGCUAAUUGCCAUUUAGAAAAUGAAUAAUUGAUUUAUUGGAGUAAUUGUAAUUUAUAGGUUUGAGUCCAUACUGUGAAAAAUGAAUGUGUUUUUUGCAGUAAAAGGAGCCUUUUUAGGAACUGAAUAUUAAGAGAAAACAGCCAAAGCAGUAUUCUGUAUUUUGCUGCCAAAAGUUUGAAGAGGAGUAUUUACUACCCAAAAAUCAGCAUUGUAGCAUUCUAAAAUAUGAAAUUAUCAUGCUCCAAUGAGCUCAUUGCACCAUGCUUAUUUAGAUACCAGUUAUAUGACUAUGCUGUACGCUGUUAAGAUCUCAGUCGUUUGUAAUGAUUUCUUCAAUUUACAACUUGAGUUGAGAAUAUUAAAUGUGAUGUUAUGUUGAUUAUUAUAUUAAUUACAUUGUGUACAUACUUUACACAAAACUUGUAAACUGCUUGCACUGAAGGGAUGAGCAUAUUGGUGGGUAUUACUCUAGAAAUUAGGGGAAUUAAGGAAGAGGGGGAUGGCUGAGAGGGAGAGUUAUACCACUAUUUUAAAUACUUCAAGUACUGCUUUAGCCUGAAUAGUUCAGUGACUUGUACCUGAAGGCUUUCUCAAAAGAUAAGUGUGUUUAUAAUUUUGAUUGAAUAAAACAGAGUGCAUA